rnacentral:rRNA from 1 species
CAUGCAAGUCGAACGGUAACGCGGGGGCAACCCUGGCGACGAGUGGCGAACGGGUGAGUAAUAUAUCGGAACGUGCCCUAGAGUGGGGGAUAACUAGUCGAAAGAUUAGCUAAUACCGCAUACGAUCUACGGAUGAAAGCGGGGGAUCGCAAGACCUCGUGCUCAUGGAGCGGCCGAUAUCUGAUUAGCUAGUUGGUGGGGUAAAAGCUCACCAAGGCGACGAUCAGUAGCUGGUCUGAGAGGACGACCAGCCACACUGGGACUGAGACACGGCCCAGACUCCUACGGGAGGCAGCAGUGGGGAAUUUUGGACAAUGGGGGCAACCCUGAUCCAGCAAUGCCGCGUGUGUGAAGAAGGCCUUCGGGUUGUAAAGCACUUUUGUCCGGAAAGAAAUCGCUCUGGCUAAUACCUAGGGUGGAUGACGGUACCGGAAGAAUAAGCACCGGCUAACUACGUGCCAGCAGCCGCGGUAAUACGUAGGGUGCGAGCGUUAAUCGGAAUUACUGGGCGUAAAGCGUGCGCAGGCGGUUGUGCAAGACAGAUGUGAAAUCCCCGGGCUUAACCUGGGAACUGCAUUUGUGACUGCACGGCUAGAGUGUGUCAGAGGGGGGUAGAAUUCCACGUGUAGCAGUGAAAUGCGUAGAUAUGUGGAGGAAUACCGAUGGCGAANGCAGCCCCCU